CCUACGGGGGGCUGCAGUAGGGAAUAUUGGGCAAUGGACGCAAGUCUGACCCAGCCAUCCCGCGUGAAGGAUGAAGGAUCUCUGGUUCGUAAACUUCUUUUGUUGGGGAAGAAAACGCGUCACGUGUGACGUGCUGACGGUACCCAACGAAUAAGCACCGGCUAACUCCGUGCCAGCAGCCGCGGUAAUACGGGGGGUGCAAGCGUUAUCCGGAUUCACUGGGUUUAAAGGGUGCGUAGGCGGCUUGAUAAGUCAGUGGUGAAAGCCCGCAGCUC
rnacentral:rRNA from 1 species